CCUACGGGAGGCAGCAGUGAGGAAUAUUGGACAAUGGGCGCAAGCCUGAUCCAGCCAUGCCGCGUGCAGGAUGACGGUCCUAUGGAUUGUAAACUGCUUUUGUACAGGAAGAAACAGUUCUACGUGUAGAACCUUGACGGUACUGUAAGAAUAAGGAUCGGCUAACUCCGUGCCAGCAGCCGCGGUAAUACGGAGGAUCCAAGCGUUAUCCGGAAUCAUUGGGUUUAAAGGGUCCGUAGGCGGUUUAGUAAGUCAGUGGUGAAAGCCCAUCGCUCAACGGUGGAACGGCCAUUGAUACUGCUAAACUUGAAUUAUUAGGAAGUAACUAGAAUACGUAGUGUAGCGGUGAAAUGCUUAGAGAUUACAUGGAAUACCAAUUGCGAAGGCAGGUUACUACUAAUUGAUUGACGCUGAUGGACGAAAGCGUGGGUAGCGAACAGGAUUAGAUACCCUGGUAGUCCACGCCGUAAACGAUGGAUACUAGCUGUUGGAAGCAAUUUCAGUGGCUAAGCGAAAGUGAUAAGUAUCCACCUGGGGAGUACGUUCGCAAGAANAGAACGACAAGAAGUAGUACGACGUGAGAGNGACGACGACGACGACGAGGGAGGAGG
rnacentral:rRNA from 1 species